AACGAACGCUGGCGGCAUGCCUAACACAUGCAAGUCGAACGAAACCUUCGGGCUUAGUCGCGCACGGGUGCGUAACGCGUGGGAACCUGCCCUUAGGUUUGGAAUAACUUCCCGAAUGGGGUGCUAAUACCGGCUAAUGUCUUCGGACCAACGAUUUAUCGCCUUUGGGUGGGCCCGCGUUCGAUUAGCGAGUUGGUAGGGUAAAAGCCUAGCAAGGCGGCGAUCCAUAGCUGGUCUGGGAGGAUGAUCAGCCACACUGGGAGAGGGACACGGCCCAGACUUCUACGAAAGGCAGAAGGCGGGAAUAAUGGACAAUGGGUGAGAGACUGAGCCAGCAAUACCGUGUAAGUGAUGAAGGCGUGAGGGUUGUAAAGCUCUUUUACCCGGGAUGAUAAUGACAGUACCGGGAGAAUAAGCUCCGGCUAACUCCGU
rnacentral:rRNA from 1 species